CACGUAGGGGGCGAGCGUUGUCCGGAUUUAUUGGGCGUAAAGAGCGUGUAGGCGGCCAGGUAGGUCCGUUGUGAAAACUCGAGGCUCAACCUCGAGACGUCGAUGGAAACCAUCUGGCUAGAGUCCGGAAGAGGAGAGUGGAAUUCCUGGUGUAGCGGUGAAAUGCGCAGAUAUCAGGAGGAACACCGGUGGCGAAGGCGGUUCUCUGGGAAUGUCCUGACGCUGAGGAGCGAAAGUGUGGGGAGCGAACAGG
rnacentral:rRNA from 1 species